rnacentral:snRNA from 1 species
AUUGCUUCUUGGUCUUUUAGCUAAGAUCAAGUAUAGUAUUUGUUUUUAUCUGUUUAAUAUCUGAUAUGUUCUUUAUCCAAGGAAAAUAUAUUAAAUGGAUUUUUGGGAAUUAGGAGAUGACAUAGAUUAGUAGUUUCCAGGGGCUGGAGCAGAG